rnacentral:rRNA from 1 species
CUGGUACUAAUACCGCAUGAGACCACAGAGUCGCAUGGCUCGAGGGGUACAAAGUAUUUAGUCGGUAGAGGGUGGCUCGCGUCUGAUUAGAUAGUUGGUGGGGUAACGGCCUACCAAGUCGACGAUCAGUAGCCGACCUGAGAGGGUGAUCGGCCACAUUGGGACUGAGACACGGCCCAAACUCCUACGGGAGGCAGCAGGUGGGGAAUAGUUGGGCAAUGGGGGAAACCCUGACCCAGCAACGCCGCGUGGAGGAAGAAGGUUUUCGGAUCGUAAACUCCUGUCCUCAGGGAAGAGCAGAAGACGGUACCUGAGGAGGAAGCCCCGGCUAACUACGUG